rnacentral:rRNA from 1 species
GGUGUGGGCGGUUUCGACCCCGUCCGUGCCGGAGCUAACGCGUUAAGCGCGCCGCCUGGGGAGUACGGUCGCAAGACUAAAACUCAAAGAAAUUGACGGGGACCCGCACAAGCGGUGGAGUAUGUGGCUUAAUUCGAUGCAACGCGAAGAACCUUACCUGGGCUUGACAUGCAUCGCUAAUCCGCUGAAAGGCGGUGAGUCUUCGGACACUUUGCACAGGUGCUGCAUGGCCGUCGUCAGCUCGUGUCGUGAGAUGUUGGGUUAAGUCCCGCAACGAGCGCAACCCCUGCGGACAGUUGCCAGCAUGUAAUGAUGGGGACUCUGUUCGGACUGCCCAGAUCAACUGGGAGGAAGGUGGGGACGACGUCAGGUCAGUAUGGCCCUUACGCCCAGGGCUGCACACGUACUACAAUGCCCAGUACAAUUGGAACCGAGGCCGUGAGGUGGAGGAAAUCCGUAAAACUGGGCCCAGUUCGGAUUGGAGGCUGCAACUCGCCUCCAUGAAGCCGGAAUCGCUAGUAAUGGCACAUCAGCUACGGUGCCGUGAGCACGUUCCCGGGUCUUGUACACACCGCCCGUCACAUCAUGGAAGCCGGUAACACCCGAAG